rnacentral:rRNA from 1 species
UACGUAGGGGACAAGCGUUAUCCGGAUUUACUGGGCGUAAAGCGCCCGUAGGCGGCCUGACAAGUUGGACGUGAAAGCUCCUGGCUUAACUGGGAGAGGCCGUUCAAAACUGUCAAGCUAGAGUCUGGAAGAGGAGAGCGGAAUUCCCGGUGUAGUGGUGGAAUGCGUAGAGAUCGGGAGGAACACCAGUGGCGAAAGCAGCUCUCUGGUCCAAAACUGACGCUGAGGGGCGAAAGCGUGGGGAGCGAACGGG